rnacentral:rRNA from 1 species
UGGGGAAUUUUGGACAAUGGACGCAAGUCUGAUCCAGCCAUGCCGCGUGCGGGAAGAAGGCCUUCGGGUUGUAAACCGCUUUUGUCAGGGAAGAAACGAGUUUCUCUAACACAGAGACUUAAUGACGGUACCUGAAGAAUAAGCACCGGCUAACUACGUGCCAGCAGCCGCGGUAAUACGUAGGGUGCAAGCGUUAAUCGGAAUUACUGGGCGUAAAGCGUGCGCAGGCGGUUAUGCAAGACAGAGGGGAAAUCCCCGGGCUCAACCUGGGAACUGCCUUGGUGACUGCAUAGCUAGAGUACGGUAGAGGGGGAUGGAAUUCCGCGUGUAGCGGUGAAAUGCGUAGAUAUGCGGAGGAACACCGAUGGCGAAGGCAAUCCCCUGGACCUGUACUGACGCUCAUGCACGAAAGCGUGGGGAGCGAACA